CACGACUAUGCCACUCCACAUGGU
rnacentral:siRNA from 1 species